UACAGAGGUCCCGAGCGUUGUUCGGAAUUACUGGGCGUAAAGGGCGCGUAGGCGGCCCGCUAAGUCGAACGUGAAAUCCCUGGGCUCAACCCAGGAACUGCGUCCGAUACUGGCGGGCUUGAAUCCGGGAGAGGGAUGCGGAAUUCCAGGUGUAGCGGUGAAAUGCGUAGAUAUCUGGAGGAACACCGGUGGCGAAGGCGGCAUCCUGGACCGGUAUUGACGCUGAUGCGCGAAAGCCAGGGGAGCAAACGGG
rnacentral:rRNA from 1 species